UUUAAGUUUGACCCCCCGAAACUAGGUGAGCUACUUAAAAACAGCCUUCUGGGCCAACCCGUCUCUGUUGCAAAAGAGUGGGAAGAUUUUUUAGUAGAGGUGAUAAACCUACCGAACCUAGAGAUAGCUGGUUAUUCAGGAAAAGGAUUUAAGUCCUACCUUAGGUUUUUGUACAACACAAGUAUCCCAAAACCUUAAGAGCUAUUCAAAUAAGGUACAGCCUAUUUGAAACAGGAUACAACCUCACCAAUUGGGUAAUACAUUUUAACAUCAAUUAAGUGGGCCUAAAAGCAGCCACCUUCAAAAAAGCGUUAAAGCUUCAUUGGUCUUUAUAAAAAUUCCUUUAAUUCUUUACAACCCCUAAUCUGUACUGAAUGGUCUCAUGACUUCAUGAGAGCCUAUAUGUUAGAACUAGUAACAAGAAGAAGCCCUUCUCCAAAAUGUAAGCAUGAGCCAAAACGAACAAUUCAUCGGCAUUUAAAGUUAAUAAUCCCCUAGUAGUAACUUUUCGAGAAAAACCUACUAUAUUUAACGUCAACCUUACACCAGCUCAUUUAUGGAAAGAUUAAAAGACUAGGAAGGAACUCGGCAAAUAACUAACCCCGCCUGUUUACCAAAAACAUCGCCUCCUGAUUUCCAUAGGAGGUCCAGCCUGCCCAGUGACAAAGUUAAACGGCCGCGGUACCCUAACCGUGCAAAGGUAGCGCAAUCACUUGUUCUUUAAAUGAGGACUAGUAUGAACGGCAUCACGAGGGUUAUGCUGUCUCCCUACUUUAUUCAGUGAAACUGAUCUCCCCGUGAAGAAGCGGGGAUAAAAAUAUAAGACGAGAAGACCCCAUGGAGCUUUAAACUCAGUAUCAACUGCCAUAAUUAAAACCUAAUACCCAAGCAGUAUAUGACUACUAGUUUUCGGUUGGGGUGACCACGGAGUAAAACCUAACCUCCAUGAUGAAAGGAAAUGAUAACCUAAAUUAAGAGCCACAACUCUAAAUAUCAUAAAAUUGACUAAAUUGAUCCAAUUGAUUGAUCAACGAACCAAGUUACCCUGGGGAUAACAGCGCAAUCCAUUUCAAGAGCUCUUAUCGACAAAUGGGUUUACGACCUCGAUGUUGGAUCAGGGUAUCCCAGUGGCGCAGCCGCUACUAACGGUUCG
rnacentral:rRNA from 1 species